CAGAAUAAUCCAUCUCCUUAAUUUAUUCCUUCUCUAUGGUGAGUAGUUAACCUGUAGUCUAGAAUAACCCUGAAUGGUUCGCAUAUUCAUCCUAAACGCUAUCUUCAUCCUAGACAACUGGUUAUCUACUCACCAUAUAGAAGUAAUAAAUUAAGCAAAUGGAUUAUUCUGUUUGUGGACAUAAAGAUGACAUCCUUACCAGUAAUAGACUGCACAUUCUCCUUCUCCUUAGCAAUAAUAGAGCGCACAUUCUUCAUGAAGUGAUGAACUUUGUCUAUCAAAGGAUAAGUGUUAUUGUAUUCUCAUCCAUGUUAGUAUAUUUCACCAUAAUGAGGGCCCUCAAAAUAUGGGCAUCUAUUUGUGUUUUUGAACUUGUAUCCUCAUCCAUGUUAGUAUGCUUCACCCUAGUGAGGGCCCUCAAAAUAUGGGCACUCGUUGUUAUUUUUGAAUCGUCAAUUUCUUCAUCUAGGUUGAGUUUACGCCUUGCAUGCCUUUGCCCUUCAUCAUUGAUAUAUGCUCUCUUUAUCAUGCCACUAUAUGGACUUGGCUUUCAGGUGUAGAGCCAUGAUUCAGUUGUGUACUUGAGAAUCUGGAGUCGAGGUGUACCUUUCUCUAAGACUAAUAUUUGUGUCAUGUAAGUACCUAAGUUUUAUCAUUUAUAAAAAUUAUAGAGUAGCUGGAACUAUAGCCAUAACUUUUUUGUUGGCAAGUGUCAUUUGAUUUCUUUAAUAAUCGUUGGAUUCUUAACAAUGUUGGGUUCAUCUUUGCUUCGGGGGUGUUUACCUGUGAUAUGUAAAAUGAGGUGUAAAUUUCAGAGUAAAUUUAUAAGGAAACAUUAAAUCUUCAUGGUCAUUCAUAUUAGAAAAGAAAAAGGACUCCUAACAAAACAUUUUCUUCUGCAGAAUAUCUAAACUUUUGUUGACUUAGCUAUUCGUGAGGAUGUGUUUACAAUGGAUGACAACAGACCACCAGCAGUAUCUAUCUCCUCCCCACGUUUGGAUGUAGUACAUCCAUUACUCUAGACACCUGGAGGCCAGGUUCUUUGACUAGAGGGCUGCAUGUUUUCUCCCCACUUAUUGAGGAAAGAAAGGCUGACCUUAAGAAGAAAAUUGCUCUUUCAUCCCAUCGGGUUUCGCUAUCAGCAUGUUUGUGGACUCCUCAUGGAUCUGAGGCCUCAGUGAAGUAUCUCUGUUUGGCAGUGCAUUUUAUUGAUUCUGGCUGUAAAAUUGAAAAGAGAAUAAUCAAAUUUGGUAUAUUUCAAUCAUCACGUACUAAUUUAGAUAGAAUGAUACAUUUUAAGGAGGAUUGUGCCCUAGAUUCUGAUAGUGGGCCAUUUAAUGUCAUGUGGGAAGCUAUAUAAA